rnacentral:misc_RNA from 1 species
GAUGAAGAACGUAGCGAAAUGCGACAAGUAAUGUGAAUUGCAGAAUUCCGUGAAUCAUCGAAUCUUUGAACGCACAUUGCGCCCUGUGGUAUUCCGCAGGGCAUGCCUGUUCGAGCGUCAUUUCAACCCUCAAGCUCUGCUUGGUGUUGGGCCCUGCCCGCUGCGGCCGGCCCUAAAGACAGUGGCGGUGCCGCCUGGCCCUGAGCGUAGUACAUCUCUCGCUCCAGUGCCCGGUGGUAGCCUGCCAGAACCCCAACUCUCGUGGUUGACCUCGGAUCAGGUAGGGAUACCCGCUGAACUUAAGCAUAUCAAUAAGCGGAGGA